GACGAACGCUGGCGGCGUGCUUAACACAUGCAAGUCGAACGGAAAGGCCCUGCUUUUGUGGGGUGCUCGAGUGGCGAACGGGUGAGUAACACGUGAGUAACCUGCCCUUGACUUUGGGAUAACUUCAGGAAACUGGGGCUAAUACCGGAUAGGAGCUCCUGCUGCAUGGUGGGGGUUGGAAAGUUUCGGCGGUUGGGGAUGGACUCGCGGCUUAUCAGCUUGUUGGUGGGGUAGUGGCUUACAAAGGCUUUGACGGGUAGCCGGCCUGAGAGGGUGACCGGCCACAAUGGGACUGAGAUACGGCCCAGACUCCUACGGGAGGCAGCAGUGGAGAAUAUUGCACAAUGGGCGGAAGCCUGAUGCAGCAGCGCCGCGUGCGGGAUGACGGCCUUCGGGUUGUAAACCGCUUUCUCCUGUGACGAGGCGUGAGUGACGGUAAUGGGUAAGAAAGCACCGGCUAACUACGUG
rnacentral:rRNA from 1 species